rnacentral:rRNA from 1 species
AUUGAACGCUGGCGGCAUGCUUUACACACGCAAGUCGAACGGUAACAGGGAGCUUGCUCCGCUGACGAGUGGCGAACGGGUGAGUAAUGCGUCGGAACGUGCCGAGUAGUGGGGGAUAACGCAGCGAAAGUUGUGCUAAUACCGCAUACGUACUGAGGUAGAAAGUGGGGGACCUUCGGGCCUCACGCUAUUCGAGCGGCCGACGUCUGAUUAGCUAGUAGGUGAGGUAAAGGCUCACCUAGGCGACGAUCAGUAGCGGGUCUGAGAGGAUGAUCGGCCACACUGGGACUGAGACACGGCCCAGACUCCUACGGGAGGCAGCAGUGGGGAAUUUUGGACAAUGGGCGAGAGCCUGAUCCAGCCAUGCCGCGUGUCUGAAGAAGGCCUUCGGGUUGUAAAGGACUUUUGUCGGGGAGGAAAUCCCCAGCGCUAAUACCGCUGGGGGAUGACAGUACCUGAAGAAUAAGCACCGGCUAACUACGUGCCAGCCGCCGCAGUAAGAC